rnacentral:rRNA from 1 species
CCUACGGGUGGCAUCAGUGAGGAAUAUUGGUCAAUGGCCGGAAGGCUGAACCAGCCAUUCCGCGUGCAGGUCAGUGCCCUAUGGGCGUUAAAAUUCUUUUCUCAGGGACGAAGAAAGUGACGGUACCUGAGGAAUAAGCCACUGCUAACUACGGGCCAGGAGCCGCGGUAAUACGUAGGAGGCAAGCGUUACCCGGAUUUACUGGGUGGAAAGGGCGAGUAGGCGGGAACGCAAGUCAGAUGUGAAAACCAUGGGCUCACACUGUGGCCUGCAUUUGAAAAUGUUUGUCUUGAGUACUGUAGAGGCAGACGGAAUUCCUAGUGUAGCGGUGAAAUGCGUAGAGAUUAGGAGGAACACCAGUGGCGAAGGUGGUCUGCUGGACAGCAACUGACGCUGAGGCGCGAAAGCGUGGGGAGCAAACAGGAUUAGAUACCCCUGUAGUC